UUGUUCUAGGACCUGCGACCGCUGAGAGCCGGCGAGCGCCCAUCCGUCGUUCUGCGCAAGCGCCGCACAGGGUUGUCUUCACCAGGUUACGCUUUCAAGACACACCUCCUCCUAAAGGGAAUGACGUCAGCUAUGCCUCCGCCGCGAGGUGACGUGACCGUCUUAUUCCUGGGGCCUCCGGGCUCCGGAAAAUCUGCGCUGAUUGCAGCGCUGUGCGACAGAGAUGUGGAGACGGUCGAGAUCCCCGACGGACGGCCGGAUUCCGGGCUCCCCAGCCUGCGAGCUGCAGGCCCAGGCCUUUUCCUGGGCGAGCUGAGCUGCCCACCCGCAGAGCCGGGACCCUGGGCGGCGGAGGCCAACGUGCUGGUACUGGUGCUGCCAGGCCCCGAGAGCAAUGAGGAGCCCUUGGCCCCGGCCCUGGGGGAGGCAGCACGGGCCGCCCUGGCCCGAGGGACCCCGCUGCUGGCUGUGCGGAAUCUCCGACCCGAGGAGUCACAGAAUGAAGCCCAGGCCCGGGAUCAGACCGCGGCCCUGCUGGACAGCGCCGGGUUGGGCGCCGCGGCUCUCUUCGUGCCACGGACCGACUGCCUCAGCACCGACGGCUGCGAGGAGCUGGAGCGCCUGCGAGCGGCGCUGCGGAGCCAGGCCGAGGCACUGCAGAGGCUCCUUCCACCAGCUCAGGAUGGCUUCGAGGUGUUGGGCGCUGCGGAGUUGGAGGCUGUGCGGGAGGCCUUUGAGACUGGGGGCCUGGAGGCGGCCCUGUCGUGGGUUCGGGCUGGCCUGGAGCGACUGGGCAGCGCACGCCUGGACCUGGCCGUGGCCGGUAGGGCUGACGUGGGCCUUGUGUUGGACGUGCUCCUCGGGUUAGAUCCUGAAGAUCCGGGUGCAGUGCCUGCUGCAGCGCCUGCAGGGCCCACGCCCUACCCGGCCCCAGAGCGCCCCAACGUGGUGCUCUGGAGCGUGCCUCUGGGCUCCGCGGACACCACCGUCGCCCCAUACCCGACAACCCACUACGACGCUCUCAUCCUCGUCACCCCUGGGGCCCCCACUGAGAAGGACUGGGCCCAGGUCCGGCCCUUGGUGCUCCCGGAUACACCACUGGUCUGCGUGCGAACAGACGGCGAGGGCGAGGACCCAGAGUCUCUGGAAGAAGAGGAAAAGGCAGAGAAGUCUGGCAGCGAGAGCUUAGAGAACCCAGACGGAGAGGGGUUUGAGACUGCCCACAGUGAUGGAAAGGAGAACCGCGGCCCCAGAUUGCAAAAGGGAGGCAGUGGGGAAGGUUCAGAGGAAGCAGGCACGGAGAGUUUGCAGCCAGUGGGCGUCAGCGCGAAGAAAUCCGGCAGCGGGGACUCAGAGCGCGCGGCUGCCCUGAGCCCCGAGGACGAAACGUGGGAGGUGCUAGAGGAGGCGCCGCCGCCCGUGUUCCCGCUGCGGCCGGGCGGGCUCCCGGGGCUAUGCGAGUGGCUGCGGCGCGCGCUCCCCGCGGCCCAGGCGGGGGCGCUGCUGCUCGCGCUGCCGCCCGCGUCUCCCCGCGCGGCCCGGACCAAGGCUGCUGCGCUGCGGGCCGGGGCGUGGCGGCCGGCCCUGCUGGCUAGCCUGGCGGCAGCGGCGGCCCCAGUCCCAGGCCUGGGCUGGGCGUGCGACGUGGCGCUCCUGCGGGGUCAGCUAGCGGAGUGGCGACGGGCGCUGGGGCUCGAACCCGCGGCACUGGCCCGACGCGAGCGCGCGCUGGGCCUGGCGCCCGGGGAGCUGGCCAAGCGGACGCGCUUCCCAGGCCCGGUGACGCGAGCCGAAGUGGAAGCGAGGCUGGGCUCGUGGGCGGGCGAGGGCACCGCCGGGGGCGCGGCGCUGGGCGCGCUCUCCUUCCUGUGGCCGGCGGGCGGCGCUGCGGCCACUGGGGGCCUGGGCUACCGAGCGGCGCACGGCGUCCUGCUGCAGGCGCUGGACGAGAUGCGCGCGGACGCCGAGGCAGUGCUGGCGCCGCAGGUGCCCGCGCAGUGAGAGCGGGCUGAGGGCCGGGGCUUCCGGGUGUGCCCAGGGUCCCAGCUGCCUGGCUCUGCCAGGGCCGGAGGACUCAAGACCCGGUGAGAGGGAGAGGCCAAGGGAUCCAGACUCUAGCAUGGGAUGUCUGGGCCUGAAAGAUCACAGAGCAAGGGGUCUGCCAGUCAGAAUCCUGGGUGCUUGAAGGGAGUGAGGGCUCUGACUAGGGCCUGGAGUGGGUGACGUCUGGUCACUAGGAUUCCUGGGUCCUGAAGGGAAAUAGAGUUCUGGGGACGGGACUCCUGAUUUUUCUGGGUACCAUCAGACUAUGGAACUCCUCAAGGGAGUUGAGGGUUUGGACUCCUCGAAGGCGGCUAUCUUGGUCUCUCAAGAGUAGAAACUAGAUCCAAUAGGUGACUAGUCCCCCUGCGGAGGAGGAGUUGGAGGCCCUGAUUGCUGAUGAAGGCGGUCUCCUUCACACUGGGGAUUCUGACAUGGAGGAGGGGUGGUCUGGGUUCCCCAGGGAGCUGAACUCCUUGGGCUUCUGAGCCACAAAGGGAUAUAAGAUCUAGGUUUCCGGGGGUGAGGGAAGGACGGUUCUCUGGACUCUCAGAACGCCUGACUCCCCAGAGGGCUGAGGUCUUUGCUUUCUAAUUCAUGGGUGGUGGAAGGUAUCCAUGUAGAGGAGGGAACCGGGUGCUGUGUGAGAGAGCUGGAGACCCUGUUGUCCCUCUUCGGAAACGGAGGGGUGUGAUAUUUGCCCCUCCAGAAGCCUGGGGGCACAGAUUUCUUUCCCCGCUGUUGUGGGGAGGAUGGUACCACAAAACACAAGAGGAAGCAAGAGUGUUCUGGGCAUGGUUGGGCUGGGGAGUAGCCAGAGACCAGGAAUGAGGCUUUCUGACUGUGGAAGGGCAGGAACCCAUCCCUCAGAGGAAACUCCCCAGAAUCCCUAAUAGAUUUGGAUCCUGGUGGCUGCCCUCCUCUGAGUUUGACUGGAAGGGGAUGUGACUGACCCCAUUUUCUAGGUGCUGGGCAGUUACGGGGCUCUCUGGGUACUCUGUCCCUCUCUCCCUUAGGGAUUUCUGUCGUUCUUGGGUCUUGGUGUCUUCUGUCAUGAAACCUGAACCGUUUCUGGCCUUCCUAUUUUGUAUACCCGCCUUUUGGGAAAUGCAGCUGUACUGCUGGACUAAUCCAAACACUUCGUGUGGCUACCUCAGGUGUCCCCAAGAGAGACACAGAGAAGGCCACAGUGAGCCAGGCGCCCACAGAACAGCCGGGCAAGUGUUCCAGCCCACGGGAAUGUGUCGCAGGGAGGCAAAGGCAGAAACCACAGUGCCUGGGACGUUCUAGGCUGCCAGCUACCAGUAGAGGAGAAGCAACAGGUCACAGAACUCUUUAAUGCCAAAAAGAGAGAGAAUGGGGCGGUGAGGGGGGCGAUCUGCAGCUGAGAGGCCAUCCAGCAGAAUCUCUGUUAUGUUAGAUGGGGAAAGCAAAACACAGAGAGGGCAGGCUCUAGGCCCAACAGCACACAGCAAGUUUCCUCCGUGCCUCUCUUCAUUUCCUGCCCCCUCUCAUCCUCGUCUUCCUUCUGAUGCUUGAGUGGGCCACCUGGGGUCAUGCCUCAGGACCUUUAUAGUUUCUGUUAUUUUUGCCCAAAAUGCUCUGCUCCCAGAUCUACUUGCCAAUCAGAUCUCAGCACAAAUGUCCCCUCAAGAGGGACCUUUCCUGACCAUUGUAACUGAAGUAGCUCAUACCUCACUGAUAUUAUUCAUCUCCACUGAGUUGUUGUUUUUCUUUUCCUUGCAGCAAUUAUGAUUUUAGGAAAUUACUUACUUACCUGUGUAUUGGCUGUUAUCCCCGUGCGGUACCCUCAGCUCCUCAAAUAGUGCCUGACAUACAGAAGGUGCUUAGUAGAUAUUUAAUUCAUUAAUCAGUGGCAGAACUAGGGCUGGAAUUUAGGUCGUCAGCCUCUUGCCCCGAGACAGGGAAAAGGUGGGAGAUGGAGGAGAAACAAGCAUCUCCUAGGAGAGGAGACACCUGUCGGGGGUCAGGAGGCCAGCACGGCUUUGCCACGUCACUCUGGGUGACUUGAGCCAGUGCCUUGUGUUCUCACCGUGAAAUGAAAGGGCCGGAGAACAAGCAUAAACACUUUCGAGACCCUAUUUCCUUUGACAGCUGAAGACAAGGGUAACCGGUCUGAGGGGCAGGUAGCUAAGGGGUGGUACCCCCAGGUCUAACUAGAAUUCCCACCACUGGCACAGUUUGUCCCAUCGAAGUUGAGAUAGCCCAGAUAGGGGAAAGCACUUCACACUAUACUGGAUGGCUCCAGGCAUUGUCCUCAAAGCUCUUUUGGCCUUAGGAAAAUGUUCCUCAUCCAUCUCCAUGAUACCCAGCACAACACUGUCUCCCCACCUCAACUGAUGCAGAGGUUUAAGCCUCUGCAUCAAGCCUGCCUGCCACGGGCAGAAACAGGAACACACGGAGCAGCUAGUCCAGUAGAAACAUCAUCAGCCACAUGUUUCGUCACUCAGUUGUGUCUGACUCUGCAACCCCAGGGACUGCGGGCAACCAGGCCCCUCUGUCCGUGGAAUUUUCCAGACAAGAAUACUGGAGUGGGUCGCCAUUUCCUUCUCCAGGGGAUCUUCCUGACCCAGGGAUUGAACCUGCGUCUCAUGCGUUGGCAGGUAGGUUCUUGGCCCCUAAGCCACCUGGGAAGCUCAUGAGCCACGCAGGUAGCUUCAUACAUUCUAGUAGCCACGUUGAAAAAGGAAGAGGGAACAGAUCCAGAUGACACCAAUUCUAAUGUCUCACGUCAAUAUAUCCAAAAUAUUAUUUCAAUAUAUCCAAAAUAUUAUUUCAACAUAUAAUCAAUAUAGGAAAGAACUUAUUUACGCUCCGUCUUUGAAAUCUGGUGUGUAUUUCUGUAGCACAUCUCAAUUCAGAUGAUGAAUUUUCAUCAGAAAUACUCGACCUCUAUUUAGAUUUCAUGAAACUCAACAUUUGAAGAAGUCGAUUCCUAUACCCACGCUGUCCCAGUGAUGUUGAAUAGUUUUCCAGUAAUGAAGAUGAGAAGCAUUUUCUAAAUUAAUGAGAAGUAAGUUGCAGGUAAACUUCCCCCGUUGCACCACAAACAUGGUGAGUAGACACAGCACUGGAGAAGAAAAACAACAACCUUAGUAUCACCAGGAAUUCUGUCUGCAUUGCCCUGGGGCCAGACAGCCCUUUGCAUAAGGGUGGCCUUUUGCAAGUGAGUCACCAAGUGGAAUCUACUGCAGGGUUGUCCUGAGAAUUCCGCGUGGACACGUUUGUACCCCGUUCUCUCUUGUGUACUGUGAUAGACUCCUGGAAGCCCUCAAGCAUUUGUCUAACCCCCGUGCCUUUGCUCGGGGUGCCCACCUCUCUGACACCAUCUCUACCCUGGCCCUGUCUGACAUCUCUACGCUAUGCUGCUCUGCCCUCCUGCCAAAGGGACUCCUGCCUGAGAUCAACUCAGAAAGCAACACCCAGUUUUGUUUCCUUGUGGAGUGUGCUGAUUGUGUUUAAGUAGUUGUGUUUUGGCACCCUUGGGGGUCAACGACUGUCUUUUGGGAGUGGUUGCGUUUUAAGUCAUGACUUUUAAAGGGAUUGAAAUUUAGGCUCUGGAAGCGGGAAGCUGCCAGCGAGGCAUCGGUCUCUGUGGAAGCUGCCAGCGAGGCGUCGGUCUCUGGGCACAUCCAAACAGAAAAGACUGAAGACUCACUUGUGGAGCGACAACUGGCAGCCUUUGGGGUUUAAGAGGAGGGAGAAGAUGCUUGGGAUUCUGACUGUCAACUGGAAGCCUAGACGCCUGUGUCUGAUGGAGGAGGGGUCCAAGGGACCUGGUCUUUGGAUCUGCUUGACUACUGGACUCACAGCAAACGUGAUGCAAGCAGAGGCUUGACAAGUGCUCAUGGACUGGGAUGAUCUCUCUUGCUGCCCUGGGGACCCCUGCCACCAUGACCACAUGGGGAAGUCCGGGCUAACCUGCAGGGUGAUAGAUAACGUGUGGCCCAGCUAGCCAGGACACCCCAAUUAGUGUCAGCCCUCUAAAAGAGAGCUGCCUGGCUGACGAGCAGCUGAACCAUCCUCCAGCUGAUCCUAGGCCAAACUGCCAACCGAUGGAAUGCGGUAAAUACAGGACAGUUAUUCUAGAGGCUUCUCUGGUGGUCCAGUGCUUAAGAGUCUGCCUUGCAAUGCAGAGGAUUGAAAUUCAACGCCUGGGGGGUAACCAAGUUCCCAGAUGCCACCAAUUGUCUGAGCCUGGGAGCUACAACUAGAGUGUCCGUGUGCCGCAAAAGGGAUCCUGCAUGACUGUGCUGCCAAUGCAGGGGGCCCAGAUUUGAUCCCUGGUCAAGGAACGAGAUCCUACAUACCACAACUAAGAGUUCACAUGCUACAGCUAAAGGCCUCAAAUACCAUCACUAAAGACUCCACAUGCCAGAACUAAGACCUGGUACACCCAAACAAAUUUUCUGUAGAAAGUAAAUUUACGUAAAUAACCAAAUAACUUUUCUUAAAAAAAAAAGAAAAAGAAUCUGCCUUGCAAUGCAGGGAAUUCAAGUUCAAUCCCUAGUGGGGGAACUAAGAUCCCACAUGGCGCAGAGCAACUGAGCCUGUGAGCUGCAGCUACAGAGUCCGUGCUCUGCAAUGAAGAUCCUGCAAGAGUCGAUGGAGGCCUUGUGAGCUGCAACUAAGACCCAAUACA